CAUGGGUCCAGCAGCGCGCACGCGUUCGUUCCCACCGCUGAAAUCUUAUCCUCUCGACUCCUCUCUCGUCCCGUUUCUUCCUCUUCCUCUUUUCCCAUUGUUCCCUUCUCACUUUCCUCAUCUUCAUUCGCAACGCAACUGCUGUGUCCACGGGAGACGCUGGAGACGAUGCACGGUUGGGUCCUGCUGCGAAGCUUCCGUCGUCCAUGCGCUCCGAUGCUGCCCGGAGGACGCGCUGUCGUGCUCGCCUGCGCAAGCUGCGGGUUUUGCAAGGCAGGGGCUCGCUGCUGCUAGCCCGCACGAGCUGCUCCAAGGGAAGCCCCGGCCUUUUUUUUCGUAAGGUGACCAGAAACAUGGUUGCUACAGCUUGAGGGAGUAUAGCUGGUGCUCCUCCGGAGUUACUCACGCGAUGCGGGAAGGAAGUCGCCAUGGAACAACCCAGCCGCCUUGGAGCUCGCCUCGCCUCCGGCCCACCACCUCUCCGUCGGCCUCGUGCUCCUUCGCCGCGAUCCGUUCGCCCUGCCGCUGGAUCCACGCCGGAGCAGCCGUAUCCGCCGCCCAGACCACCAACCAAGAGUCGCCUCUUGCCUGUCCUGCGGUCCGGAGGAAGGCGACCGAGAGGAGCGCCCAUUCAUCCACCCCCUUGGAGCUCGUGCUGCCUUCGGGCCGCCACCUCUCCGUCGGCCUCGAUCCGUCUGCCCCGCCGCCCAGCCCACCAACCAAGCGCCGCCUCUUGCCUAUCCUGUGGUCGCAGGUCGAAUAAUAAAAACUGCAGGGUCCUUUAUGUAAAAGCGAAUCAUUUUUUCGGAUUAGCCACUUAAAAAUAGGACCGCGGGUCAAAUUCUCAGAAACAGAUGGACUUUUAUGCAAAA